UACGUAGGCGGCCAUAUAAGUCAGAAGUGAAAGGCUACGGCUUAACCGUAGUAAGCUUUUGAAACUGUAUGGCUUGAGUGCAGGAGAGGAAAGCGGAAUUCCUAGUGUAGCGGUGAAAUGCGUAGAUAUUAGGAAGAACACCAGUAGCGAAGGCGGCUUUCUGGACUGAAACUGACGCUGAGGUACGAAAGCGUGGGGAGCGAACAGGAUUAGAUACCCUGGUAGUCC
rnacentral:rRNA from 1 species